CUUCCUCUCUAUGCGGCGUGCAGUGCUGCGGGGCUUUUCUUACCGCGGGCCUCGUGCUCCGGGUCGUGCCGCCUCCCCGCCCCCCAAAGCCUCACAGCAGCUGUCGCAGGGCCGCGGUGCCAGCUGGAAGAGCUGCAGGCGUGAGGACAGCUGUGGCAGCCCCAUCCGGCUCGGCCCGAGCCUUGUGUCGUGUCAGCACGCGGUGCUGUGUAGGGGAAGCGUUCCCGUCAUUUCAGAAGUUAAAGUCACCGUUUCAUCCAGGUUUGGGGCAGCCGAGGUUUGCAGUUCAGAAACGUCAGCUGCGUGCUGGGACAGCGAGGGGGGAAAAACACUGUGAGCGUCGCUGGGAUUUCAAUACGUGCCCUUGUAUUAAUGCCCUCCACGCAUUAAUCCUGCUUAAAUCCCCUCUUUAUACACCAUUAAUAGAGCCCUUCCACUGCAGAAACAACGGGGGGCAAAAAGGUGAUCAAAGAGCAGAUGGUUGGGAUGAGGGGGCUGAGGUCCCCUGGUCUGCUCAGUGCAGAGAAGAGGAGACCAUGCUUCAAUUUUGACCUACAGAUAACAGGGUUGAGACGGUGAACUUAAGAGCUGUCAUUGGAAUUGAAACAUUCUGCUACAGCUUCUGUGAAAGCAUCCUAAUAAACAUAUCACUCUCAUCUUUUUCCUGCUCAGCGAUCUCCUGCCUGUCCCUGCAUUAUAGAAAUGCUGGUGCUGCACAGACCCAGCUGGCCAGCUGUGAACAGAGACAAUUAAUGGCAUCUUUGGUUUUAACUCCCAAUAGGCAAGUUGCUAACUGCUAAGAAAACACCCUUCUUUGUGAGAGGCCACUGGUCUUGCCUUAGGUGAUAGUUUUAUGCAGAACGGCAGGACAGAUUAGCAGUUUGCUGCCACCCAAAGGGAGAAGUCAGAGGAAAGAUCUUACCUUCCCCACAUCUUUCUCCCUCUGAACCUCACUUUUUGCCACAUCUGGUGUUCGCCAGACCUUUCCGUGACCUGCUUUUAACUCACUGUCAGCAGCAAACUUCCCAUAGUGAAAACAAGAUGAGGGACUGCUUCAGACUGUACUCCACGCUAAUGAAGACACACUGAUGAUGGAUUUUGAAAGCCCGCUUGUUGCUAAGACUCACUUAUUGUAGUGGAUAAAUGUUUGGAUUGGUUUGUACUUUCUGAAAGGUGCCUUUGCCAGCUGAAGAUGUCUGGAGGCCAAUGGUUUCUUAUGCAACUACUCAAGAUGUUGGUUCCGUUUGCAUUCACAGUGUAGGUUCUUUGAAAUGCUUUAUUGUAAACAUGAUUACGGAGAGCAGAGACCCCAGCUUUACUAAGCACCAGGCUGACAUAAUUCUGGCUUUAAGCAGCAGCUGCUACAGAAUGAAAGAUGAAAGAAUGGGGUGCAGCCUAUGUCGGUUGUGUAAGCACCUCAUUGCAGUCAAGGAAUAAGGGAUGCAGACUGCUUUUAAAUUAGCCUGCUAGGUGGUGCUAUAGGACAUGUUCUAAGUUACUCCUUCACAAACAGCAGCUCUGAAGUUUUACCAGGAGAAGGGUAGACUCCUGUCGUUACCUGCCUCUCUAAUUUACAGUUUUGUGAGUAAAGCCCUAUUGCUGCAUUAGCAAAAAAAGUUGAUUUUUUUGUUUAAGUACAGAACUGAAAACCACUGACUUCAGUAUCUCUUAAUGCAUGAGUGCUCCCACAGUCUCCUCUGCGUAUGUGAUCUUCAAGGUGAAAAGCGGUCAGUCACUGAAUCCACCAAUCUGAAAGAGAUAUUUCUUCCCAAAAUCCCUUAUUCCCCUCUGGGAGUCUGUUUAUCUGCCCUCUCAGACGAGUUUUGGGGUCAUCCAGCCUCCUACAAACUGCAAUGGGGAGCAACAUGAAGAGCUGUGCAAUGCUAGCCCAGUUUCAUGCAAUGUGGUGUGUCACAAACACUUCUUCCUGUAACUCAGGUUCUGUAGGUGUUGUCAGAUGGAGCACACACUGCAGGAUUGCGGGACUGGGGAAAUGCAGUGCAAGUAGGACAGUAGAGUAACAUCGACAGCAGAAAGAGAGAGAUGAUGGAGUUUGCAGAGCAAGGAUCAUCUGCUGGUUAUUUACAGAACCAGCCUUGAAAAAGAAGGGACUGGGCAGGGACUGGGCAGUUUGGACAUUAGGGGAUUCUACAAAAUUGUUUGUCAAAUUAAGGAGGAAGACGGAAAAGUCUGAUGAAUAACACAGGAAACAUUAGAGCACAAGAAGUUCCUGCAUUGAGAUGUGGUAGAAGAUCUGGGGAAGAUCUUGUCAUGGAGGAAGGGUGUAAUAUGACAGCUUGUUUUUUUUUUAUGCAUCUACCUGGCCUGCAUUUCCAUGUCAAUAAGUGCAGUGCUUCAGCAGCGGUUUGGGGGGCACACGAGGAGCAGUGCAAGGCCCUUAAAGAAAAGAUGUAGACAGUACCUGUGUUGAGGUGACUUACGAUGACUCGUGCUGGUCUUUAAACACCACCUCUUGGUGAAGAGGGAAAAUAUCAGCCAAUACUGAGGGUAUGUCUUUGCAUGUCCCACCCCCACUGUUCCUCUUAUAGUUAAAUCCCAAAUGACCCACUGCAAGCUCAUAACUGAACUUAACCUAGCAAUAAACAAAACUCAGAACUUUGAAGUGAUGAGGUAAACUUAGCAUUCAUACCGUCUGGCUGAUGUGGGAGACAGGAGACAGCUGUACUCUAGGAUUUUGCUGCGUGCUCAGAUAGCACAGGUUGGAACCCACGUUUUGCCUUUCAUCAAGGGCUGGCAGAAAUGCCGAAAGCUCUGCCAGUCUCAUGCUGCUAAUCAAAGCCACAUGCAAAAAGUAGUAGGACAAAAAGUUCCUUGUCUCCUUGUUAAGCCUUUCCUGUAGAAAAAGAUGAUCUAUUCCCAACCCUUUAUCUUAUUCCUUGAAAAUAAAUACGUAGUUUGUAUGACCUUCUCAGGAGCAGCAAUGUGUAGGAAAGAAUGAGCACUGAGAAACACAACUGUGGGAACAGAAUAGAGAAUCACAUUUCUGGUCUCACAUGAAGCCUUUGGUGUCCAGUAUUCAAGAAUGAGUGAAAAUCUGAUGAUGUAGUCAUUGAAAUGGGCAGAUUCUGGGACCAAACAUACCAGCUCCUUCAGCUCUGACUGUAUUUACCAGAAGUGGGAAGGUUGAUGAUAAAGCAUUCUGCGUAAUCAGAUAUCUUAAGUGUAAUCAUAAAAAAAAACAACCCAAAACCACUGAUGUGAAUGUGCAAUGCAAUUGCUGCUGCAGCUAACAGACAUGGAUCCAGGUAAACAUGGAUGCUGAAGGAAAAUUUGGAUACUGGCAGCAGAGAGCUGAGAAGGAAAGCCACUUGCGGAAUCUGGGCAAAUCAAUUCAUGCUGAACUCCAUGGUCUUGCAAAUAGACUGUUGCUAUUUAAAACUGCUUCAGAUCUAUCCACAUUGUGCAGACAGAUGCUAUACCAUAUUGUAUUUUAAAAGGCAUUAGGCUCUAGUCAUGUCACAGACAUCAUUAUGAUACCAUUUGGCAAAAUCAGAGCAAAACUCAGAAACAUAAGUUGAUUGUCUAGCCUGGGAUUUCCUGUUGGUGCAUAUGAGCCAUACUUGCUGUAUCCAGGACAAUUGAACUUUGUCUAUAGCAGAUAGAAUCUUUAUCUUCAAGAGCUCUGGUUCUACAAUUAGCUAGCUAUAGUGAAAGGAAGGUACCUGUAGUGAAUUAGAAUGUCACAUAUCUUCACAAUGCAGCUGAUUAGUGCCUUUUCCCUUCAGAAUUAGAAGCAGCCCGUCUUUGGAAGGGAAGGAUGCCGUUUCUUAAAGGCAGUACUAUAAUAACUAACAGAGUUAAUCGUAAUUAUCUUAAUCUCCAUAAUAAUUACCCUUCCGG
rnacentral:lncRNA from 1 species